AUUUCCUGUCUAAAAAUAUAACUGUCUUCAAAAAGAACUAUGUCAUAACUCCCAACAAAUCUUAAUCUAACCGUAUCAAACCUUUAUUUUUUUUAAACAUGUCAAUCAAUCUGUAAUUUCGAUAGUACUUUAUAUUUUUUGCAAAAAAUGAAAAGUUGUCAAUGCAAGGUUAUUGCUUCAAGGUCUGUCAUUCGUAAAACAGACUCGAUUAAUGUACCCAAAACUACAUUAGUGACUAGAGCUGUUAUAAUAAAAAUAUUGGAAAAAUUCUAUGAAACAUGCGCAGCAUUCAACAUAAGAUACUGCUCUUUUUAUGGUCCAAUUAGUCAUGGCGGUAACACAACGAAAACUAUUAAACUUUUGAUCGUCUUAGUUUGUUUUUUUAUAGCAAACUUUAUUAUUAUGACAACUAUACUGAUGAGAAUUGCCUUCAAUUUGGGACUGGUGAUGUUUAUGCCAUUUUUUUGGUUGCAGAAGAAUUGUAAAAAACAAUAAUAACAGCCAUCUUUAUGCCAGAAUACUUGAGUCUUACCCACCGAGUGUAAUUCAUAUAUAUUUCUCCCCAGACCUGUUGUAAUUACUAUUUUUGUGAUUUCUAAAACUUUUAUAGUUAUUGUAGCUGGCACUUUAAGAAUUUUUUCUAAGCUUCUAUUUUUUUUAUUGCGGUGAGAAAAAUACAUGGAGCUUUACACAGUUUUCAAAACUAUUUUUUAACACUCUGCACGGCGCUGUGACGUAACAAAAAAAAAUUACAAGAAUAAAACAAACCUAAUAUCAAUGAUAACAAUAUAAUAAAACCAACCUCUCAACGAAAAUUUAGUUUAAAAUAAACGUGUAAGUUGAAUAUGGA